rnacentral:misc_RNA from 1 species
AACGCACAUUGCGCCCGCCAGUAUUCUGGCGGGCAUGCCUGUUCGAGCGUCAUUUCAACCCUCAAGCCCAGCUUGGUGUUGGGGCAUUGCGGCAUGCCGCAAGCCCUCAAAAACAGUGGCGGGCUCGCUAUAACUCCGAGCGUAGUAAUAUAUCUCGCUAAGGAAGAGUGGCGGGCUUCUGCCGUAAAACCCCCAAAUUUUUUAAGGUUGACCUCGGAUCAGGUAGGAAUACCCGCUGAACUUAA